AACAAAGGUAAUAUAGUAAAAUGGAAAUAAAUAUUCAUUAUUGUUAAUUUAUUUAAGGGGUAGUUUUCUUUUACAUUGGAAACCCUAAAGUGCUUUGGCUGCCGUGCAAGAAAAGAAACUAGAGAAAGAAAACUAGAGAAAAGAAAAAAAGAGAGAGAGAAAACUAGGGUAGUGUGACUAAAUUGUAAGGAGAGAAAGAAAUAAAAGGGGUCACUUGUGUCAAGAAGGGGAAUUGAUGCUCAUGGUGUUGUGAUAGAGACUUAACUUUUUGUAUUGGAAUACGGCUUCACUCAAAGGGUGGUGAUUCAUUGGCAGGGAGAGUCUAAGGUAAGAAAAGUGGACAUCUGUGCACAGGGUGUAGAUUAUGCUUGUUUUUGUUGUUGUUUAAUUAUGUAUUUACUUUAUUUUACGACAUGAUUUGUUACGCUAGAUUGAUUAGUGUAAAGAUAGUGCUAGAUAUGUUAAUAGUAGACAUGCUUAGACAAUAGAGUGGGAGUGCUACUAGUUUAUACCUGCUUGUGUGAGGAUAUCACUUUCAGGAAUUAUCUUGGGUGUGUAUAACCCAUGAUAAUAGGAUGCCACCACGGAACUGCUGAGUGUGAGUACAGCGCAAGCAGGGUAACGAUAUCUCGUGGGAACGGUUGAGUGUGAGUAUAGCUCAGGCUAGACUAGAUGCCACCGUGGGAAUGUCGAGUGUGAGUAUAGCGCAGGCAGGGAAAAUUACAUUUCAUGUCCGAUCAACAUGACUUGUUAAUAUUAGUGUGUAUGUGUAUAACACGUAUUAUGUUGGUGUGAUACAUAUCUCACAAUGAUAGUUAUGUUAUAUAUUUAUUUAUGUAUAGUUGGUAAUUUCAUGAUUUUUUGGUAUAGGGGGUUAUGUCCUACAUAGCUCUUUUUACUGGGCGUUAGCUCAUGGGUACUCGGUGUGCAGGAAAAGGCAAAGCAAAACAGUGAGUGGUGCGGGCUCGAGGCGUGGACGAAACAUGUUAAACGCUGGGCACAGUUAUUUAUGUUUUAGAAAUAAAUGACAUUUUUGUUUUUGAA